CUUGUUAGAAAUGCAAAUUAUCAGAGCUCACUCAGACCUACUAAAUCAAAAAUUCUGGGGGUGGAGCCCAGAAAUCUGCAUUUUAAC
rnacentral:miRNA from 1 species